ensembl:lncRNA
UUUGAGUACUGGCCCCUUUGUCAAGUUUGUUUUUGUGGUUGAACGUUCUUAACUCUCAUACGCAUUCAUUAUGGUGUAAUGGUACUGACCACUAAUAAGGUACUCAGAGACGACGUACAAUAAAUGUUUGGUGUCUUGUGACAAAUCUAUUGCGCCGGUUUACGACUGAGGUAGAGCAGAUGCAACUGCGGAGAGUCUAAAAUAGCUCCACCACACUGGAGGGUUUUCUGACUUAAUAAUGUCAACACCAGGGCCUUUACACAGCCAGAUGGAGUCACUUUAUUUUUUGGACUGAUUGCGCCGACUCAAGUUUUAUCUCCAUUCGUUCUCAUAGCAGAGAGAGAGCAAGGAGGGACAGAUGUCUGGUCUAGUCAACAAAGUAAUUUAUGAAGUGCUUUUAAAAGCAGCGUUGCCACAAGUUUUUGUGUAACAAAGCAGAUAAAUACACAAAAACAUCUGACCGCACUGCAUACAUCUUAGCAUAUGAGGCCACAUCUCUCGCGCUCGCUGAGUGAAAACACGUGAAAGAAGCAUUAUUAAGGUGCACAAAGACCAGAGAGGAUCUGUUUCCCUGUGAAUUAAAGUUUGGACUAUUUAAACUGCAAUGUACUUAUAAUUAUUAUUUUUUUGUCAUCUGAAAAAUUGUUAAAGCUCCAGGAAAUCCACUCAAUUACUAUUAAUAUAUUUAUCUGACUAGUAAAAUAGAUACCAGACUCAAAAGUUGGAAAUUACUGAAUUCAGUUGGCAAUUUAAUUUAUUUUGGGGAUAAAAUGAAGGAUUUUCAUUUUGUACGGUUAUGCAUUGGUUUUGAUCAUCUAAUAUCGUCUUGAAUAUUAGUUUAUAAGCCAUAUACUUUUGCUAGCUUUCAAAUACGUCUAUACAUUUACACUUUGGAAUGCAGGACUUUUACCAGUAAUUUAGUAUUUCUUUACACUGUUGUAUUGGUACUUUGACUUCAGUAGGUUUGAGCAAUUAUUCAACAUUCCCUCAGAACCAGAAACACGUGUUUAUCUCUGGAACAUGUGGCCAAGGAGAAAGCAAUAUAGAUACUUGGGACUUUUUUUCUUUUAUCGGAACUGUUUCUUUUCCAACAAUGAAGAUCAAAUCAAGGUGCAAGUUACAGACUUUUUAAAUAUUCAAGUUAACCACAAAUCUCAUGACAGCAUGACAUCAUGCAGUGCUCAGAACAGAGUGGGACCAAUUAAUGAAAUAAAUGCAUCAAUUUAAGGUGGCAAGAACAUGUUUGGGUUCUAUUGCAAAAGCAUGACUACUAUCAAUAUUUAUUUCUAUUUUAAAUACUUUUUGAUGAAUUUGGAGAAAGUAUUGGGCAGUGUACAACCUACCAACAAAUAUAUAUACUCCAUACUGAAUCAGUAUGUUAUUUACUAAAUGUCACAUCUCCAAAAAAGUUGCAGGAAAUUUCCAAAUAGGCAUUAUUUGGAUGACGACUGCAUAUGGGAAAACAAAAUGGUCACUUUCUCUUCUCACAUGAUCUUAAGACUUUUCAUUCAAGUCUCACAGAUGAAGGCAACACAAUGCAUGGUCAGUGAGCUGGGAAUGUGCAGUAAGCUCACGUCUCAUUGAUCAUUCUUAAUGUGGUCCUGGUAUAAACAUUUCCCGCAUGAAUAAAAUCCACAUGCUACGAACUGCGUUUGUACCAGUGAAAAACCAUAUUUGUACUGUUGAGAUGUGAUGUAGAGACGCCAUUCACCGCUUUGGAAGCGGCAGCUGUCAAUCACAGUAAGCCCGCCCUAAAGCACUCUCCACUUUAUUGUCUAUUUCAGGGAGUAAACCUACGGGAAGAACUGCUGUGUUGAUGUGUGUGCACAGUAUGUGUUGCUUUGCUUCAGGCUUGUUGUUUGUCGGUUCGGCGCACACUUUCUUAAUCUUCAAAGGGAAAAUGUAAAUGAUGUUCAGCGUGCAGAGAUGAUAUCGACCUGUGAAUGUAGGUUUUAAUGUGUUUAACCUGGUUCUCUGAUAUUCAACGUUCAUGAUGUCUGAACGUCUAAGACCUAUUUUCAAACGGCUAAAGUGUGGUUCCAACAUAAAUAAGUCAGAAAAUGCCAAUUUGUUGAUCAUUUGUUCUGUAGUAACGUAAGUUCGAAAGAGACGUGAUAUUGUGGUUAAGAUUUUCAUGUUAAUUAACUGGUGGACAAAAUUUGGUCUACGGUCAACAUAUUUAAAAUCUCAUUUAAAACACCAUGUCACGGCCAGACAAUGGACCUGAACCCAAAUACACGAUUCGAGAAGCAACGUUUAAAAUCUAAGUUUAAUAAAGUAAAAACCCCAAAUGAAAAUCACUCUUGAAAGAGGAAAACCCUCCGCUAAAUCUAAGAACAAAAAAAAUGAGAUCUUGGCCAGUAUGUGGCUCCUUCCCUAAAAUGACAGCACUGGUUUAAGCUGUCCCAGGUUUACACCCUCAUAUUGAUUUGUAGUGACGAGGCUUUCUGUUCCCUCCUACGGAGAUGACGUCCUUGCUUCAUGUUUAUUGACAAUAAUUCAUAGUGGCCCCCAACUUUACGAAAACAAUAAACGUCUUCCAGGUACAUGGUUCAAACAUCUGCAGAAGGUCUCCUUCUUUUUUAACCGAGUGGCUAUGCGCUGCCAGAGGCUUCCUUGUAAGCUGGUUUUGAAAAUGAAUGCCUUUAUGUUUUGGGUUGGACCCACUGAAUAAUUUGCUAUGUAAUUACAUACUCUGCAAAAGCUUCCCUGUCCACUAGGGCCCAUUUGGGAUUCUCUGUAGCAUUGCAGUCACAACCAGAGCCUUGACCAAAUCAAAACUCAAAGCCACUCUCUAAUCAAAAAACUGGAAAACUCACAUCCAGAGACUAACCUUUUUUUAAGUUUUAUGUCUCCCGAUUGCUAAAUAUCCUUACAUCAACAAUUGGGGUGUAAUUUCAGAUUUGCUGCUUUGCCAAGCGUUUUUUGUUUUCAUUUGAACCGCUGCAAAACAGCCCCCUGGGGAGACGCUGCCGUCAUUAAAGUUGGAACGGGUUUGCUGAAGGAGAUGACAGCACACUGCGGAAAAGUCAUCCCCGUGGCUAAUGGGGAGACCUCGGACGGAUUUAGUACGGAUGAAAAAACCUGCUGUCAACAUUAUGCUCACUUUAAUACAGGUUUAAGGGUAUUUAGUGAUUGUUGCAACUUGUGCAGACCAUUUCCAAUAUUCAGCAUCGAGCUUAAUCAUUGACACAAUGGCCGUGCAGUGCUCAGUUGACACCUCCUGUUUCCGGUAGGCAUGUAUGUAAACCGAGCGACAACACCUGGUGCUGAAAAGAAUCAAGCCAAUGCAGUGGUGCCAAAAAGCUGCAGCUCUUUCAAUGACCAAUUGAGGCACGGCUCCAAAAGCGAGCUACUCUCCAAAAUCAAACAUGUUUAAAUGAACCUGUUGACAAUCUUGCACAAGAGACUUUUU